GGCAAGAUGACCGAGUGGUUAAGGUGUUUGACUUAAGAUCAAAUCAGCGUAAGCUGGCGCGGGUUCGAACCCCGCUCUUGUCA